rnacentral:rRNA from 1 species
UACGGAGGGGGCUAGCGUUGUUCGGAAUUACUGGGCGUAAAGCGCGCGUAGGCGGACCUGCAAGUCGGGGGUGAAAGCCCGAGGCUCAACCUCGGAACUGCCUUCGAUACUGCGGGUCUCGAGUCCGGGAGAGGUGAGUAGAAUUCCUAGUGUAGAGGUGAAAUUCGUAGAUAUUAGGAAGAACACCAGUGGCGAAAGGCGGCUCACUGGCCCGGUACUGACGCUGAGGCGCGAAAGCGUGGGGAGCAAACAGG